GACGAACGCUGGCGGCGUGCUUAACACAUGCAAGUCGAACGGAAAGGCCCUGCUUUUGUGGGGUGCUCGAGUGGCGAACGGGUGAGUAACACGUGAGUAACCUGUCCUUGACUUUGGGAUAACUUCAGGAAACUGGGUCUAAUACCGGAUAGGAGCUCCUGCUGCAUGGUGGGGGUUGGAAAGUUUCGGCGGUUGGGGAUGGACUCGCGGCUUAUCAGCUUGUUGGUGGGGUAGUGGCUUACCAAGGCUUUGACGGGUAGCCGGCCUGAGAGGGUGACCGGCCACAUUGGGACUGAGAUACGGCCCAGACUCCUACGGGAGGCAGCAGUGGGGAAUAUUGCACAAUGGGCGGAAGCCUGAUGCAGCAACGCCGCGUGCGGGAUGACGGCCUUCGGGUUGUAAACCGCUUUCGCCUGUGACGAAGCGUGAGUGACGGUAAUGGGUAAAGAAGCACCGGCUAACUACGUG
rnacentral:rRNA from 1 species